CCUUUGCAAUAAAGUUUGACGUGGGAGAGCGCCAAGACGACCUUAAAGAUGGCGUGCUGAAGAAAAGACUUGCCUUGACGAGGAGCCACAGAGGAACGUCCUGGAAAAGACCAAACGUCCUACAAGACGCAGACACGCAUCACCAUGGCGACCGUCCACUUGCCGCCAUUUUGUCUCCCGCUAGCACGUUCCGCCAGGGCCCCCCGCGACUUUGCGCGACGUCACAACUUUGCUGAUUCUCCCGCUACCGUUCUCUGUGAGUUCACACCUGUGUGUGUGUGUGUGUGUGUGUGUGUGUGUGUGUGCGUCCCGGCUCUUUUGUUCCUUUGAUUUUUCCAAGCCACUGUUUUCCAGCAGCUUCCAAACACACGCUGACCUCGCCGUCUACGCUCCAGUAGCCGCCAUCUUGUUUCAUCUGACUGCCCUCUGUGUGUGUGUGUGUGUGUGUGUGUGUGUGCGCGCGUACAGACGUGCGCUCUAUUGUGCGAGGCCGUCGGGGGUCGUUAGCAGCUGCGAGCUGGAGAGGCUUGGUGGUCAGACGAGCUGUGGCCUAACAACAAAGAUGGUGGAACGGCGGAAUAUGACAAGACCGUUUGUAUUUUCCACAACAUGGCGGCGUGUUGUUGUAGCGCGUUGUGUAGAACGUCACGUAGAUGGCGUCUUUUUUUUGUGCUUUGUGCUAACCUCAGCAGGCUAGCUGAUGAGCAGCUCUCGUUUCCGGUACUGAAAAUGUUACGCUCAUUUCCACAAUCAUCAACGUUUGUGUGCGUUUGUGUGUAUUUGUGUGUGUUUGUGUCUCUGAGGUCUUCCCAGUACUGAUUGUCAUGGCUUCCAGAUGUCUGAUCAUACUCUGAAGACUCGGCUGUUGCCGGGCAGACUGACUUGAAAACGUCGUGAAAACAAGUGGCUACAUCAACAGCUGCUGUAGCUCAAACACAGCGGGAGAACCAAACGAGACACUGCACUGUGAUGAUCCACUUGGACCACAACCAAAGAGCCAGAGCAGAAGUCCAAAACAGAAACAUGUGUGUGUGCUUCCUGGAGGCGGAGCUUAUGCUGACAGCAGGAAGUGAUCGCUUCCAAGCGGACCAUCAAGGUGACAAGAACAUUGUUCUUGGAAAAGUUGAAGCAGGUUCCUACAAGAACACACAGAAACUUCUGGAAGGAAUGCCUCACGUGAAGAUGAUGGUGAUGGUGUCCUCCACAGGGGGUCCUAAUCCAGGAAGUGUUCCCUCAGCAGAUAGAUUAGUGGCAGGAAGUUAGUUCAGAUAGCUAGCUAGCAGAGGUCACAGUUGCAAAAGAAACAAAGAGAUGAAAAAGAAGCUCCAGAGGUCGGCAGGGGUCACACUGAAGAGCGGAGGAAAAGUGUUGGCGAGGAGCCAGAAGGACCAUUAGCAACGUUAGCACUGCUAGCGUAGCGUAGCCAUCCAAGUGCAUUCCAGCUCGCCUUUCACUCCUCAAUCUGCUUUGAACUUUUCUAUCGAGCUCAUGAGGGUCCAAAGUCCCAUCAGGAACAUCUCAGUGGUGUCAUGUGACCACAGGCAGCCACCAUGCAGCCCCCCAGACAGCCCCUAUACCUUCUCCGCCAUCAGCACUUUCCUCUUCAACAAGUCAAAACAUCACGUCAUUUCAUUCUUCUUCCUCACAACAUGCUGACAAAACAUCACUGAUACCAUAUUUUUAUUAGCGCCAGCGUGGCUAAUGCUACAUGUUUGUUAACAUGUUUAUCAGCAUCACUGUAGCUAAUGCUAUAACUUCAUUAGCAUGUUCAUCAACAUCAGUGUGGAUCAUGUCAUAUGUUUAUUAGCAUGCAUGUCAGCAUCCACAUGGCUAAUGCUAUAUAUUUAUUAGUGCCGGUGUGGCAAAUGAAUUAGCAUGUUAGCAUGUUAUUAGCACUAGUGUGACAAAUUCUAUAUGCCUUUUAGCUUUAUCCUUAUUAGCACCAAUGAGGCUAAUACUAUAUGUUUAUAAGUCAGCAUCAGUAUGUCUAAUGCUAAGUUUAUUAUGCUACAUGGGUGUUAGCACCAACGUGGCCAAUGUUAUAGGUUUACUUCCACCAGUGUGGCUAAUGCUAUAUGUUUAUUAGCAUGUUUAUUAGCACCAGCAUGGCUAAUGCUAUAUAUUUAUUAGUGCAAGUGUGGCAAAUGAAUUAGCAUGUUAGCAUGUUAUUAGCACUAGUGUGACAAAUUCUAUAUGCCUUUUAGCUUUAACCUUAUUAGCACCAAUGAGGCUAAUGCCAUAUGUUUAUUAGUCAGCAUCUGCAUAUCUAAUGCUAUAAGUUUAUUAUGCUAUAUGGGUAUUCGCACCAACGUGGCCAAUGUUAUAUGUUUACUCCCACUAGUGUGGCUAAUGCUAUAUGUUUAUUAGCAUGUUUAUUAGCACCAGCAUGGCUAAUGCUAUAUAUUUAUUAGUGCAAGUGUGGCAAAUGAAUUAGCAUGUUAGCAUGUUAUUAGCACUAGUGUGACAAAUUCUAUAUGCCUUUUAGCUUUAUCCUUAUUAGCACCAAUGAGGCUAAUACUAUAUGUUUAUAAGUCAGCAUCAGUAUGUCUAAUGCUAAGUUUAUUAUGCUAUAUGGGUGUUAGCACCAACGUGGCCAAUGUUAUAGGUUUACUUCCACCAGUGUGGCUAAUGCUAUAUGUUUAUUAGCAUGUUUAUUAGCACCAGCAUGGCUAAUGCUAUAUAUUUAUUAGUGCAAGUGUGGCAAAUGAAUUAGCAUGUUAGCAUGUUAUUAGCACUAGUGUGACAAAUUCUAUAUGCCUUUUAGCUUUAACCUUAUUAGCACCAAUGAGGCUAAUGCCAUAUGUUUAUUAGUCAGCAUCUGCAUAUCUAAUGCUAUAAGUUUAUUAUACUAUAUGGGUAUUCGCACCAACGUGGCCAAUGUUAUAUGUUUACUCCCACUAGUGUGGCUAAUGCUAUAUGUUUAUUAGCAUGUUUAUUAGCACCAGCAUGGCUAAUGCUGUAUAUUUAUUAGUGCCGGUGUGGCAAAUGAAUUAGCAUGUUAGCAUGUUAUUAGCACUAGUGUGACAAAUUCUAUAUGCCUUUUAGCUUUAUCCUUAUUAGCACCAAUGAGGCUAAUACUAUAUGUUUAUAAGUCAGCAUCAGUAUGUCUAAUGCUAAGUUUAUUA